GAGAGCGGCGUACGGGUGCGGAACACGUGUGCAACCUGCCUUUAUCUGGGGGAUAGCCUUUCGAAAGGAAGAUUAAUACCCCAUAAUAUACUGGAUGGCAUCAUUCGGUAUUGAAAACUCCGGUGGAUAGAGAUGGGCACGCGCAAGAUUAGAUAGUUGGUGAGGUAACGGCUCACCAAGUCUACGAUCUUUAGGGGGCCUGAGAGGGUGAUCCCCCACACUGGUACUGAGACACGGACCAG
rnacentral:rRNA from 1 species